rnacentral:rRNA from 1 species
AAGGCUACGGCUCAACCGUAGUAAGCUCUUGAAACUGGGAGACUUGAGUGCAGGAGAGGAGAGUGGAAUUCCUAGUGUAGCGGUGAAAUGCGUAAAUAUUAGGAGGAACACCAGUUGCGAAGGCGGCUCUCUGGACUGUAACUGACGCUGAGGCACGAAAGCGUGGGGAGCAAACAGGAUUAGAUACCCUGGUAGUCCACGCUGUAAACGAUGAGUACUAGGUGUCGGGGGUUACCCCCUUCGGUGCCGCAGCUAACGCAUUAAGUACUCCGCCUGGG